UCAUCCCAACCCAUACCCGAAAUAGCUUAUUAUUUCCCCUACAAUUUUUCCCCAAAUCUUCCUCAAAUCAAGAACCCUAGUCUGCUGCAUCGCCCUCCACGACCCAAACCUUCCCCAAAUCUGUUGCAUUGUCGUAGACUGUCCCUUCUGUCGUCGCACUCCUUUACCGUUACACUCCUCUGCAUCAAUUCAACCGAUAAGUUUUGGAUAAGAAAGCUGGGUCUUUGGCCGCGUUGCUGUGCUUAGCUUGCUGGGUCGGAGCUAGUUCCACCGCUGCAAAAUUUGGCUAUUCUCUGGCCUGGAAGGGUUAUAAAAAAUGGAUUUUUCAUGGAGAAUGCAUGCAUAGUACUUCCUUUUCAACGAUGGAUGUAUCUUAUCCUGGUACUGCUUACCAUCAGUCUGUUAGUGGGGAUGACAUGGAAGGUAUGUUGCGGGAUGCAUUUAAUAUGCACAAUCAUGGUUUGCAGUCGUUCCCAGCCGACUUUGUGGCAUCUGAUGAUUGUAAUCUUGGUGGAAAUACUUUUACCGAACCGGGAAGAAGUGUAUCUCAUGAAGAGCCGAAUAGAGAAGCGGCGAAGUUCUACGCGCUACUUAAUGACAUGAACGAAGAACUUUAUGAGGGAUCAAAAUAUUCAAAAAUGUCCUUCUGUAUUCAUCUUUUUCAGUUAAAAUGUUUGGGAGGGUGGACCGGAAACUCUUUGACAAUGUUGUUAGAGUUUUUGAGAGAUAUGUUUCCCUUUGCAAAAAUCCCUCACUCAAAAUUGUGGAAUAGUUGUUAAUUCCUCAAUUACAAGUUAUGCUAGUGCUAGGGACAAUAAUUCUGUUGAGGGAAAUGUGGAAUAUUUCGGAUUUCUUACUGACAUAGUUGAGUUGGAUUACUACGGGAAAUGGAAAGUUGUCUUAUUUUGAGGUGAUUGGGCUGAUGUUAAUACUGCUCGUGGAAUUAAGCAAGAUCAAUUUGGUUUUACAAUGGUGAACUUCUCUCGAUUGAUUCACACAUGACAAUGAUUGAUAGAUGAGCCGUAUGUAAUUUUGUUUUAAUUUAGUUUUAUUUACAAAAUUGUCAUUUAUCACAUAAUUUUUAAUCAAUUUCAAUUAUGUUGCCGUCC